rnacentral:rRNA from 1 species
CCGGCGACCGGCGCACGGGUGAGUAACACGUAUGCAACCUGGCCGUGACAGAUGGAUAACCGGGAGAAAUCCCGCCUAAUACAACAUAAUGCCGGGAGGGGACAUCCCCUGCCGGCCAAAGGGGCGACCCCGGUCACGGAUGGGCAUGCGGCGCAUUAGGUAGUUGGUGGGGCAACGGCCCACCAAGCCGACGAUGCGUAGGGGUUCUGAGAGGAAGGUCCCCCACAUUGGAACUGAGACACGGUCCAAACUCCUACGGAAGGCAGCAG